GCCGGGCGUGCUGGUGCAUGCCUGUAGUCCCAGUUACUCAGAAGGCUGAGGCAGGAGAAUCACUUGAACCCAGGAGGCAGAGGUUGCAGUGAGCCGAGAUGGCACCACUGCAGCCCAGCCUGGGUGACAUAGUGAUACUCUGUCUCAA
rnacentral:SRP_RNA from 1 species